UACGUAGGGUGCGAGCGUUGUCCGGAAUUAUUGGGCGUAAAGAGCUUGUAGGCGGUUUGUCGCGUCUGCUGUGAAAAUCCGGGGCUCAACCCCGGACUUGCAGUGGGUACGGGCAGACUAGAGUGUGGUAGGGGAGACUGGAAUUCCUGGUGUAGCGGUGAAAUGCGCAGAUAUCAGGAGGAACACCGAUGGCGAAGGCAGGCCUCUGGGCCACUACUGACGCUGAGGAGCGAAAGCAUGGGGAGCGAACAGG
rnacentral:rRNA from 1 species